AGUUAACCAUCAACCUGUUUUUCUAAGGAUUUGUGGCAAUAGAAGUUGAACUGCAAUAUUUAAUGUUUAAUUUGAUGUUAUGUUCGUGAAAAGACUACAAACAACAAAAGAAACCAUAAACUUGUCAGAUUUACUCACCUUUUUUAAUUCUAUGACGAAAAUGAAAGUAUCUAUUUAUCAUUCACAUUAAAACUAAUCUUUAGGCAAUGUUACCUUUUAUUUGUUGCAGGUCCCUGAUAAAAAGUUAAUAUUAUCAAAAAGACUUUAAAAAAGCUCUUGAACUUUUUUGAUUUCGUUAAAAGCAUAAAAUAUCACAUUUUAUGAAGAAAAUUAACUUUAUAAACACUUGUCUGGAAACAUUACUUUUACUAAGCUUAUCUAGAGUUUAGUAAAAAAAGGGAAAUAAUGAAGUAACUGAAUGUAAUCCAGCAUUCUCAGUGGCUAAUAAAUGGCUAUUUUCAAAUUCAUUUAACACAAACUAUCAUAUUUAGGCUUCUCAUUUUGAAGAUAUGUGCUUACGUGAUGAAUCACGUAUGUCAGUUGACGACGUCACGAGAUUGCGCAGCAUACCUAAUUUACUCCAGGCACGCGAUUUCAAAAUAGCGAUUUAUAUGUUUAUCGACCUAGUCCCUGGGGCCAAAAUCUUUCCACUUUCCUGCACAAAUUGUAAACUAGUGCUCAGGUAUGUUCUUCCGUAUGGGUUGACAGAAGCUCAGAAAAGUGAGAUCGAGGUUCGCAAUUUCUGUUCACAAGUAUACGUUUUCUGAAAGUUCCUCACUCGAUCAAUCAACUAAUAUGUACACACACAAGAACAGAGAAAAGUUUGAAGAGUGGCUAAUAUCUGAGGGGGGGAACGUAAUGGAGGCAUCAUGUAACAAGAUAUGCAUGAUGAAAUUGUUGCAUAUUUGGUGAAAAGUUGACGGCUUCCCAACGAGUAAUUUUAGGAGUCGAAAAAGGAGGAGCGUGUAAAAAGACAUAUUUAUAAAUUGAUGGAUUAUCCAACACUGGGACUUCACAACGUUUUGUGUGUGAAAUGGACGAGUAUCAAAAAUCUCGAAUGAUACUUUCUUGGGUUGCUGGUGACAUUAACGCCUAAUUAAUUGUUAGUGAAAAAUGAGGAAGCGUCAUUAAGCUUACUACCAAAUCAAUAAAAAACAUACCUGAUUCAGUUCGUGAUGACGUUGUGCAUCCAGAUAUCGAAGUCCUGUACCAAUGGUGAAUUUAUUAAACGAAUCAAGCAGUUGAUAGCGUCAAAGAAGAAAAAUUCAAGGAAGUGUGGCGAUUGUAAGGCUUUGAUAACGAAAGAUAGAAGUAUUGUCUGUGACGGAUGCCUUAUUAGGAGCCAUUACAAGUGUACUAGAUUAAGAGGAAAACCUACUGGUAAUUGGUUCUGUAAUACCUGCGUGGCUAGUUUUGCAGAGAACGAAAUGUCUGACAAAGAGAAUGAUUUAGAGACCAAAUAGACUGAUUUACUUAAAAGAACCCUUAAAUACGGAGUUCUCCCUACGCUUGUGGGAAAAUCAGCAGAUUCGCAGCACAAUAUCCUGUUAAAUCUGAAAUCGGGUGGUGCUUUUCAGGUUGCUGCUAACAUACAGAAAAUCGAAAAGAGAGACCCAGAAUUCGCUCUACAGCUUGGCAAGUGUUUAAGAAGCUCGGCACCAGUAGGACUUAUUGGAAUUUUUCUGAUGAUUUACCAUUUGGUACUAAAAGAGUAAGAGUCUUUUAUAAUUUCAGAACUGUUCACGGUUGUAAAACGUAUUUGUGCUUUCUUUUUAUUUGACUAGCGUUAUGUUUGGUAUUAUGUUACUUUUGACUUUUUCUUAUUUUUGUUCUUAGCUUUUUUCAUUUUUUUUUUUUUUUGUUUUUUUUUACUUUUAUGUACAUAUAUUUCAUAUGUAUUCGCAUUAUAUUUAUAUAGCUAUGAGUAAGACACAUCUAUUUAAAGUACCUGCAUAGUAUCAUGUAUUUUAAUAUAUUACAAAAUAUACUCUCUAUAGAUAAAAGCUAUUUUAAAAAGCUAUUUUAAAA